GUGAAAAGAGGAUGGGGGUGUCUGCCAUAAGAAGAAAGAAGACUAGGCGUGAUUGUCGUCACUCAUCAAAGAGACAAGAGGAUGGGCGUGGUUAUCAUGGGUCGCUUUGGUGCUGCCUGCAUAUGAAGUGAUCCCUUGUGUCUGCCCUCACAAGAAAGGAUUCUCCUGCCACCAGAUUUUAAGAAGUGGGUGUUUUCAGUUCUCGUAGAGAAACUAGUUUAAGAUUAUUAGUUCAUUCUGUUUUGAGUGAGGUUUCUUUGUCAUAGUUGGCCAUUGGAGUUAUUAAUGAAGCUAUGUGGACUAUAAUGAUUGUGAAUAUUAAAGCAACAGCUGGAGGAGAUCUCAUCGGUGCAAGUGCUACCAAGUCAUGUGGAGUACAGGAAACAUGUCAAGCAGGAUUGUGAAGCAGUAUUUUUGUUUAUACUGCUGCCUAUAUCAGAAUAGUACUGCCUAAACAGAGUAGUAAUGAGGGGGAACAGUGGUUUGGGAACCAGUUUCCUCCAGAGUAAUCAUAGAAAUUGAAUUUGAUUUACAUGUUGCUACACCUUAAAGGAUCCUUGGGAAGUGGGGAGUGUUAAGAAAUGGUGAAUGACCGUGGCCGUGAAACUGACAACUAAGUAAUUCUGGAUGACUGUGAAGUUCGGUUAUUUGCACCCUUAUAAAAAUUGCACGAAGUGAAAGAUGGUUAUGAUGGAAACUACAAAUUUUCUCCAGAGCAACUGCAGGCAGAGCUUGGUUAUGAUGGAAACUACAAAUUUUCUCCAGAGCAACUACAGGCAGAGCUUGAUUUACAUCAGACCACUGUAACAUCAGGAAUCUUCAGGAGGAAGUGGGCCAGUUCGUGUCAGGAAAUGGUGAACGUCUGAAGCCGUGAGACUGACAACGAAGCAAUUCUGGAUAACGGCGAAGUUCGGUUACUUGCACCCUUAAUAUAUAUUUUAAAAAAAGCUGACAUAGUCUAGUAAGGUUUAAAGACAUUGAUGUAUCAACAGAACUAUACAUCAAAACUAUAGAGGAACAUUGCAAGACUAUGAUGUAUGAACAGAACUAUAGAGGAACAUUGCAAGACUAAUUGAAAUCUGGAAUGAAAUGGCAAAGGAAUCUUGCUGGGUUGCACAUGAUAGAAAUAUGCCUAAACUAAGGGUAGCACGUGUUUGAAAGACUGAUGAAUCUAUUGGAAGUCGCUCCCGUGCAGAGGCCAAGGGCUUGGAUUGGACUGAAGUGAGUCUGCCUGAGAGAUGCUCUUCAAGGUGCUGAAGUAUUACGCCGUAAGUGUGACUGGAAUGGACCAGGCUCUUCAAAGAGGUUGGCUGUCUCCCGUGGAUUGCUCCACCGGGAGAGUGGGCAUGUAUAUCUGGGUUUGCCGAGGUGCUGAAGAUGGAGACUUCUGGGGUUUAUCCUGAUGAGUUCCAGCACUCAGUUGUGAAGGGAAUUUUGCUUGAAAUGUUUUUCAAAUACAACUUUAGUAAGCAUAUCAAUUGUCUCCCAUUGCAGCCUUUCAUAUCUAAUGUUCAUCCUUGAUUUCAUUUAAGAUUGUACAACUUUAGUAAGCAUAUCAAUUGUCUCCCAUUGCAGCCUUUCAUAUCUAAUGUUCAUCCUUGAUUUCAUUUAAGAUUGUCAAUAAAGGCAAUGUGCCGAAAACUAGCUUCCUUAAAAUGUAAGAUUUAUUAAAAGUUGUAUUAAGUUUUGUACAUGCUGUAUUUUGUUAUUUCAGAAUAUAAUAAAUUGAAGUAUGGA